rnacentral:rRNA from 1 species
UACGUAGGGUGCAAGCGUUGUCCGGAAUUAUUGGGCGUAAAGAGCUCGUAGGCGGUUUGUUGCGUCGGCUGCGAAAUCCCGAGGCUCAACCUCGGGUCUGCAGUCGAUACGAGCAAACUAGAGUGUUGCAGGGGAGACUGGAAUUCCUGGUGUAGCGGUGAAAUGCGCAGAUAUCAGGAGGAACACCGGUGGCGAAAGGCGGG